CGAAAUAUAUCUCUCUCUCUCUCAAAUCCUCACGGAAAUCCCUAAGCCAAAAAUUUCCGCUCCCUAAAAUCGCCGUGGCGUCGUCGAUCUCAUCACUGAACUCGUCGCCGUUUCAUCUUGGAUCUCAUUUCUAAUCUCCUCUCCGAUAUUAUCUUCAAGGUCGAGCUACUCUCGUUGGUUUGAUCUUUCGUACUGGAGAUCGAAAGACCCCUCGAUUUCAGGUCUUAUGCGGGGACUGGAAACCCUAGCAGUCGUUUUGUUUUUGGGCCGAGAAGUCUGCAAAACCCUAUCUCAGUUCAACUGGUUGCUUAGAGAUUAUCUAAAGGCUCAAUGCUGAGGUUUUGUAGCUCUUCUUCUGAAGUUUAAUUACCUCGCAAAUUUCCCAUUCUCUCUUCGCCCCUAAAUAUUCAUUUUGUGAUUUUGAGCCUCAAAUCUCAUUGAUGGGAGCUUUGUAGGGUUGGAUCAACCAAUCUCUUCUCAUGAUCUCUGACCAAAUCAGGAGAUUCAAUCUUUGCUAUUGGAGAACGGAAGGAGAACUUGAGCUCAAGUGAUUUUUGAUGUUUUCCCCUUUUUUCACUCCUUGUAGCGUCAAGUUGUUUGAUUCCAAGCUUGAUUUAUAUCUUACCAGCUUUAGAGUGCCGAUGUGUAGGCCAUGCACCUUAGCUGGUAGGGGUUUGAUUGGUCUGACGAGGGUCUGAAACCCUGGCUAAGUUAGACUGGUUCCUUAGAGAUGUAGCUAGGCUUUACAUUAGAGAUUGAAAAGCUUGAUGCUGCGGUAUUUUAAUUGUUUUUCUGAAAUUUUGUUAUUUGUUUAGAUAUUUAAUGGUGUAGUCAUCUUCCAAGAUGCACAUAAAGAGGGUUAUCAUUGAAGGAUUUAAGAGUUACAAGGAACAAGUUGCUACAGAUCCCUUUAGUCCCAAAGUUAAUUGUGUUGAGAAUUGAGAAUGUUCAAGCGAGUGCGGAUUCUAUCAGAAGAGAGAGGUGUACGAUCAG